GGGGGGCGGCUCGGGGAGGGGGGAGACGGCGGCCGGGGCGCUGCCGGGGGGAUCCCGGUGUCCGCAGCCCCCCGGAGCUCCCCUCGAGCUGCUGCCCCCCGUGCUGGGGGGCUGCCCUGGGGCUGGGGAGGUCCCCUCCGCCCCCAGUUAGUGCCCUUUUAAUUAGCGCCCUAGACGAGUUCCCGUGUUUGGGGUGCAGCUCCUGGCCGGGCUCCUGCAGGAGCACGCGCCUUCGCCUCGCUUCGUGGAGCCUGCGGCGUGGCCUGGGCGUAGGCGACAGAACGCGGUGCCCCGCGGAUGGGAGCGUGGCGGCACACCUUCCGCUUUUCCCAGCGUUUCUUGGGCUCUGGGGCUUCGAGCGCUCCCCUGCCGCGUGUCUCGCAGGAGGCAGCGCGUCGCCAGCCACCCGCGGCAGCGUGGGCUCGCUUCCUUCGGGAGCAACGUUCUGCCCUUGCCGUGGUCGGGUGGCUUGCCGGCUGCGUUUGGGCGCUCGUAAAGAAAAGGGUGCCUUAAAGCCUAGUAAAAAGCGUGGAGGCAGUUUGCCUUCCUUGUUGGUUUUGGAAGAACUCCAAAUGAAUCGAUUGGUAAAGAAGAGUAAAAGCAGCAGAGCGCUACAGGUGAAGUAAGUGUAGCGGGGUGUCGGGGUCUUUAAUGGGGGAAAAAAAGUUUCUGAAGUGAUCGCGCUUUGGGGAUGAAAAAGCACACGUUUCUGCUUGUUGAACUUUACUUCUUUUGGGAAGUGUGUCCUGCUGUGUGGUGGAAAAUACCCUGCUCGCUGUCAUGAAACAAACUCUCCGUUUACCUCUGGCUAAAAGUUCACAGGAUCACUUAAACAACAGCACCAAAAAAAACCCUCAGCAAACAAAACCAAAACAACAAAGCCACCCACCCAAAAAACCCUCUGGACCAGACACCAGUUACCUCCUGCCUGACGCUCCCCGCCUGGGAGGACUGUUUUGCCCCAGCUGUUUUCUGCUUUUUGUGCGGAGCCCAGCCUCCUACGCUCUGCCAGCGCUGUCACCAUUGCAGCUGAGGAGCACGUGCCCUGUGGCGCCCCGUAGCCACGACUGAAGCUGUGAAGUUGGUUUCCUCCCUUGGAUGAACGUCACCGUACGGGACAGGCCGGCACCAUUGAGUGGGUCCCUUUCCUUCUGCAGCCAGACCUGCCGUGUGCAGGCUGGCAAGGGUGGAAGUUCCGUGCCAGCUGCCUUUUGUGUAUUUUAAGUUAAAAUUUAACCUUUUUUUUUUUUUUUUUUUUUUUACAACCGCGAAGGCUGCUCGUGGAUCUGGUGAAUUUGAAGCUAGCAGGCAAGCGCAAAAGUAUGCAUACGCUUAAAGACUCAACCUCUACUUUAAACUAUUCCAGCCCUAAUUACCGGGGCUGAACUCCAGCCUCCCGGGGACUUAAAUUUCUCUUUUAACAGCUGAUGACUUCACCAGCGCCCGCAGCAGCAGCCUUGCUCCGCCAGUGAGCUCAUCGCCGGCGCUGGGAGGAACCGCUGCCUCGGGGGGCUCCGACUGGGCUGGGGUGGCCAGUGGCCCUUCUCGCAGCUCGUUGGAGUCUGCAUACUUUAUACAUAGUCACCUGGAUGCCAGAUAGGUUGCAGCAGCGUGUUCUUCCAGAGCGGUUGGGUUUCGCCCGGAAGAAAAGGCUGAAAGGCUUCCCAAGGUCAACCAGAAAGGAAGCACAAAGCCUGCUGCAGCCCAAAGGGAGCAGGAGCACGGCCAGGCUGCAGGCUCCUCACCUUCUUGCCUGCUUCCCGUGCAGUGCUCUUUGGCUCGAAGUGGCAGAGCUGCACGGCUCCUAGGUCUCUGCCGGGGCUGAUCCAUGGCUGUACGCGUCCCGGCAUCACCGGUGGCAAAUGCCACAUCUGGUGCAGAUGGAGAAGGCUGUUGACAAACGCGCUGUGAGAUGCCAUCUACCUGUCCCCUUGCUAGAGGGCAGCUAAAAAUGCAGAUGCUUCUUACGAGCUUCGGACACUUAAAACCUCUUUAUUUAAUCCUGAAGAGGCAGGCUUUUUACCCUUCCCCCUCAAAUUUCAUGAUUUUUGGUGUUUUUAAACACAUUAACUACUUGUUGCUUCAAAGUAGCCCAAAUUGCUCGCCCCUAACAGGCCUGAAUAUUGCUCUGGAGGCUCAUCAUCAACAAACCGAAAUGCCCCAAGCACCACGGUGCUGGUGCCAUGUUCUGAGCGGUGUUGGAGCUUGGUAAACCCCUCACCAUGUCACUGAAGGUGCCACAGGCUGCCCACCUUCAAAGCACAUGUGUGCCACAUGCUGCAGGGUGGCUGCCGCCUCGCAGGGUGGCACGCCUCGCGCCUUCGGCCCCGCAAGCUCGUCGUCGUCGCCUGUCCCCUAAGAUAGGUCAGGGAAAACCUCGAGCCGGCCUUCUUUCUUCAGAUUAAAAACUGCCCACUGCAAGCUUCCGAGCCCCACCGGGAGCCUGCGGUGACUCAUUUCCUCUGCCACAAAAACACUGGGGGCUGUUGCUCUGUGUUCUGAUGAUUUCUGCAGAAAUCAGGCGUCUGCGCGAGCUGCCGUGGAUUGCCUCUAGUUUUCAGAGCACAGCAGUGGCGGUAUUUAAUUUGGAUGGGAUACAGUGCUUCAUUUUUAUAUGCUGUGUGUAUUUGAUUAAAAGUGGUGGUUAUCGCGGCGUGUGU